rnacentral:rRNA from 1 species
AGAGUUUGAUCAGGCUCAGAACGAACGUUGGCGGCGUGGAUAAGACAUGCAAGUCGAGCGCUCAUCCGGUUGCAGCAAUGUAAACGGGUGGGAGCGGCGCAAGGGUGCGUAACGCGUGGGUAAUUUGCCAUGAAGUUGGGAAUAACUCGCUGAAAGGCGAGCUAAUGCCGAAUGUGGUUGCCUGGUGGAAUCACCGGGUUACUAAAGUUGGGGACCGAAAGGCCUGACGCUUCAUGAUAAGCCCGCGCCCUAUCAGCUAGUUGGUGAGGUAACGGCCCACCAAGGCGAAGACGGGUAGCUGGUCUGAGAGGACGACCAGCCACACUGGAACUGAGACACGGUCCAGACACCUACGGGUGGCAGCAGUCGAGAAUUUUUCACAAUGGGCGCAAGCCUGAUGGAGCGACGCCGCGUGGGGGAUGAAGGGCUUCGGCCCGUAAACCCCUGUCAUUUGCGAACAAACCUUGCCAUUGAACAGAUGGCGAGCUGAUGGUAGCGAAAGAGGAAGGGACGGCUAACUCUGUGCCAGCAGCCGCGGUAAUACAGAGGUCCCGAGCGUUGUUCGGAUUCACUGGGCGUAAAGGGUGCGUAGGUGGUGAGGAAAGUCGGAUGUGAAAUCUCGGAGCUCAACUCCGAAACUGCAUUGGAAACUACCUUGCUUGAGGGUUGGAGGGGGGACUGGAAUUCUCGGUGUAGCAGUGAAAUGCGUAGAGAUCGAGAGGAACACCAGUGGCGGAAGGCGAGUCCCUGGGACAACACCCUGACGCUUGAGGCACGAAAAGCUAGGGGGAGCAAACCAGGAUUUAGAUACCCCUGGGUAGUCCCUAGCCCGUAAACGGG